rnacentral:rRNA from 1 species
GAUGAACGCUGGCGGCGUGCCUAAUACAUGCAAGUCGAGCGAACAGACGAGGAGCUUGCUCCUCUGACGUUAGCGGCGGACGGGUGAGUAACACGUGGAUAACCUACCUAUAAGACUGGGAUAACUUCGGGAAACCGGAGCUAAUACCGGAUAACAUGUUGAACCGCAUGGUUCAACAGUGAAAGACGGUCUUGCUGUCACUUAUAGAUGGAUCCGCGCCGCAUUAGCUAGUUGGUAAGGUAACGGCUUACCAAGGCAACGAUGCGUAGCCGACCUGAGAGGGUGAUCGGCCACACUGGAACUGAGACACGGUCCAGACUCCUACGGGAGGCAGCAGUAGGGAAUAUUCCGCAAUGGGCGAAAGCCUGACGGAGCAACGCCGCGUGAGUGAAGAAGGUCUUCGGAUCGUAAAACUCUGUUAUUAGGGAAGAACAAAUGUGUAGGUAACUAUGCACGUCUUGACGGUACCUAAUCAGAAAGCCACGGCUAACUACGUG